AAGUCGUAACAAGGUUUCCGUAGGUGAACCUGCGGAAGGAUCAUUAACACGUUCCACGUAUCCACCCGAGAACUCGUUUUUCAAAAAGGAUUAAGCUUCAGUGUCUCACCUGUCAAACUCUGUGCAUUCCGCAAAAAUCUGUCGAUAAGGAAACAGGCUGUCGAAGCCUGGCGGCUGUCAGUAGAAAUGUCUUCGAGUCUGACUCGAAGCAGGUGCUGAAGAUCUGGUCCUGUUGCUGUUCCUUAUCGAAUUUUUACAACUAUUUACCCCAUUUCGACAUGUACUAAUUGAAAUUUCUUUCUUUGAGAAAUUGGAGCGCUCUGUGCUCUCUGAAGAUCUAAGAAAAACCUUAAGAACAACUCUUAACAACGGAUAUCUUGGCUCUC
rnacentral:misc_RNA from 1 species